CUGGUUCGCUUACGAUCACCGAAGUUAAGCAACAUCGAGCCUGUUCAGAACCUAGAUGGGUGACCGUUUGGGAAUACCAAGUGCUG